ACGGGAGGCAGCAGUGAGGAAUAUUGGUCAAUGGGCGGAAGCCUGAACCAGCCAUGUCGCGUGCAGGACUACGGCCCUACGGGUCUUAAACUGCUUUUGAUUGGGGAUAAAGUGGGGGACGCGUCCCCUAUUGCAGGUACCAAUCGAAUAAGGAUCGGCUAACUCCGUGCCAGCAGCCGCGGUAAUACGGAGGAUCCGAGCGUUAUCCGGAUUUAUUGGGUUUAAAGGGUGCGUAGGCGGGCUGUUAAGUCAGCGGUGAAACCCCCGGGCUCAACCCGGGGACUGCCAUUGAAACUGGCGGCCUAGAGUACGUUGGGAGUGCGCGGAAUGUGUGGUGUAGCGGUGAAAUGCAUAGAUAUCACACAGAACACCGAUCGCGAAGGCAGCGCACUACGCCGCAACUGACGCUGAGGCACGAAGGCGCGGGGAUCGAACAGGAUUAGAUACCCUGGUA
rnacentral:rRNA from 1 species